rnacentral:rRNA from 1 species
GUAGGUGGCAAGCGUUGUCCGGGAAUUAUUGGGGCGUAAAGCGCGCGCAGGCGGUUCUUUAAGUCUGAUGUGAAAGCCCACGGGCUCAACCGUGGAGGGUCAUUGGAAACUGGAGAACUUGAGUACAGAAGAGGAAAGCGGAAUUCCACGUGCAGCGGUGAAAUGCGUAGAGAUGUGGAGGAACACCAGUGGCGAAGGCGGCUUUCUGGUCUGUAACUGACGCUGAGGCGCGAAAGCGUGGGGAGCAAACAGGAUUAGAUACCCUGGUAGUCCACGCCGUAAACGAUGAGUGCUAAGUGUUAGGGGGUUUCCGCCCCUUAGUGCUGCAGCUAACGCAUUAAGCACUCCGCCUGGGGAGUACGGCCGCAAAGGCUG